rnacentral:rRNA from 1 species
GCUAAAAACCUAGCCCCAACCUUUCCCGUCCCUCCCCCAAAAUUUUUACUAAAUAAGAUAAAACAUUUUAAGAUUCAAGUAAAGGUGAUAGAAAAAUUAAUUAGAGCUAUACAUAUAGUACCGCAAGGGAAAGGUGAAAUAAAAAUGAAAAAAACAUUUAAGCAUAAAAAAGUAAAGAUAUACCCUUGUACCUUUUGCAUCAUGGUUUAACCAGUCAUAAUCAAGCAAAAUGAAUUUAAGUUUGUUCCCCCGAAACUAAGCGAGCUACUCCAAGGCAGCUUCAUGAGCCAACCCGUCUCUGUAGCAAUAGAGUGGGAAGACCUUCGAGUAGAGGUGACAGACCAAACGAGCUUAGUGAUAGCUGGUUGCCCAGUAAAAGAAUUUUAGUUCCCCCUAAAGCUAUCAAUUUAAUGCACACAAGCAAACCCACCCGCUUUAGAGCUAUUCAAAUAAGGUACAGCCUAUUUGAACCAGGACACAACCUCCACUAAUGGGUAAUACUCCAACAAUUUAAUAAAGUAGGCCUAAAAGCAGCCACCUUUAAAACAGCGUCAAAGCCUACCUCCCCCUACCUACCCCCUUAUUAUUACAUAAAUUACCUAAAACCCUUUACCCCCACCGGGCAAUUCUAUACAUUAUAUAGAACCUAUUAUGUUAAAACUAGUAACAAGAAGUAAACCCUUCUCUUUAAUUCAAGCAUAAGACAGAAUGGAUAAGCCACUGUCGAUUAACAUACAUGACCCCCAAUUAGCAACUCUACAAGAAAACCCUAAUUAAACCCAAUGUUAACCUAACACAAGCGCAUUUCAAGAAAGAUUAAAAAAAAAAGAAGGAACUCGGCAAACAUUAACCCCGCCUGUUUACCAAAAACAUCGCCUCUUGAUUAACAAAUAAGAGGUCCAGCCUGCCCAGUGACACAGUUCAACGGCCGCGGUAUACUAACCGUGCGAAGGUAGCGUAAUCACUUGUUCUUUAAAUGAGGACUAGUAUGAAUGGCACCACGAGGGUUUAACUGUCUCCUUUUUUCAAUCAGUGAAACUAAUCUCCCCGUGAAGAAGCGGGGAUUAAUCUAUAAGACGAGAAGACCCCGUGGAGCUUAAAAUAAGAACACUUGCAACAAUUAUUGUACUUCCAGAAUCAUUACAAAAAGUACACCACUAUGACAAUUAUUUUUAGAUUGGGGUGAUCACGGAGUAAAAACUAACCUCCAUGCUGAAAGGACUAGCUCCUGAGCAAUAAGCUACAACUUUAUGCACUAACAAAUUAACACAUUUGACCCAAUAUUUUGAUCAACGAACCAAGUUACCCCAGGGAUAACAGCGCAAUCCGCUUCAAGAGCCCAUAUCGACAAGCGGGUUUACGACCUCGAUGUUGGAUCAGGGUAUCCCAGUGGUGCAGCCGCUACUAAUGGUUCGUUUGUUCAACGAUUAAAACCCU